rnacentral:lncRNA from 1 species
UAAAUUCCACAACACAAUCUCCACAAUACACGUUCAAAACUUGAACCAAUAACACAUCACACGUUCAAGUCUCGAACCCGCAACAACAAUCGGCCACACUUUGUUCACAUUAAAAACAUCAACAUUUCAAGCUCAAAUCUAAGAUAUAGACUCAACGUGUUAGUGAGGAACAAAACUAACACUUAGAGACAACAAAAACAAGUAAAA